GUGAAUCAUCGAAUCUUUGAACGCAAAUUGCACUCCCUGGUAUUCCGGGGAGUAUGCCUGUUUGAGGGUCGUUAGAAUAAAAAAUUGUGGCUUCGCUCUUUUUUUGAUUGUGAUCGCGUCUGUAUUGAGCCGUCUUUCAAAUGUUAAUUAAUGUCUAAGUUUCGUAAAAUUCAUCCAUCCUGUACGAUUAAAGCGUAUUUUAGACCAAUUUU
rnacentral:misc_RNA from 1 species